UUUAACUGAAGAGUUUGAUCCUGGCUCAGAUUGAACGCUGGCGGCAUGCCUAACACAUGCAAGUCGAACGGAAACGAUGGGAGCUUGCUCCCAGGCGUCGAGUGGCGGACGGGUGAGUAAUACUUGGGAAUC
rnacentral:rRNA from 1 species